rnacentral:rRNA from 1 species
GGUCUUGGUCUUGAACCUUCUAUUGCCUCCCCCCUCUAAUUAUACAUGCAAGCCUCACCACAACAGUGAAAAGCCCCACCACCCACAACAUCGGAGCCGG